UCUCCCACCAUUGGUUCCCUCCCCUACUCCAUUCCUUCUCACCUUUUCCCUUUUACCCAUUGGCGUGAGUAUUUUUCCUCAGCUUCCCUCUUUCUCCGUAUUCUGCUCCUCCUCAGUCCCAUCCUCCACGCUUUGGAAGCUACUGCCUUACUGCCCGGAGCGCCGUCGUCCCCGAACCUCCCCUGCUUCUCCCUUUCCUUCUGUUCCGGUUUCUGGUCGUAACUCAAGAGCAAACCACCGUACUGCAAAGGAACCAGAUAUUGUGCUCGCGGUUCCAAACCGGGCAUGGGCACCGAAUGCUUCUCGAUAAAUCCCCUUAUGGUCUCUGAGCAUUAAAGAAAGCAAGGGAGGAAAACAUGCGCCCAAGCUCGUUCGCAGGAACAUGUUCGCGUGUCUGCGCCUGUGUGCGCAGCCAGUUUUCUGGCUGAGGAUCGCUCGCCAACUACAGACAUCACCCGCCCAGGACCCGGUGCCACACUCACCCAGAAGACGAAACUCCACAGGAGCGAGAAGAGGAGUCCAUUUCUCCGUCGGCUCGGCACGGCACGGGGAUGCAGGCCCCUGAUUCAGUACGUUCUGUGAAAGUGGAGCGAGAAGCCAAGACGUGGAUCGAGAAGCCCCGUGGGGCGGGUCUCAGGGUGGCCCAAAAGACCCCUGUUCACGCCACUACCAGCCUAACUUUAGGAACUGUCGUCCACCUGGCUUUUAUUAUACUGCCUUAAACAUAUUCACUUUUUUGAGACUCUAGAAAUUUCACAAGUUUUGGGGUAGAGCACACUGGGCUUUGGGUGUGUUUCUCAUGAGGGCACUGACGCUGAAUGGUGCAGUGAGAAAGGACGGUAGAAACCACUGCCUUUGCUUUUACCAUUGAAGAAACUGAGGUCCUGUGACUUUCCCGAGGUCAUCGGAAUCUGCCUUGCACAGGAGACUUAAAAUAGUUGCCAGCAGAUAAAAGAAUGAGCAAAACCACAUCUACUCCAAUUUGUUAAGUCUGAAAGAAAGUAAUUGAGGGGGGAUUCCUCUUUGGGGAAAUAUUUAUUUCCUGCAUUGAAAAUAGUUUAAUGUUAGUAAACAUAUAAAAAGUAUUUUAAAUUCAAGUUAUUCUUUAUUUCUUAUGUUACAUAAGGUACUGAAGUUAGCCAAGGUUGCUUUUGUGUUAUAAUGAUGCAGCUGCUGCCAACCAGAAGUACAUUUACGGUCUGUCAGUAAAGAAAACAAAAACUGCCUGUUGGUAAAAAUCUAUUAGAAAAUAUUUGUCAGUAAAUUUGUCACAAUAUUCCA
rnacentral:lncRNA from 1 species